UGAUACCAGGGUCAUAAGGUCAUGUGUUUCAUGCUUGCAUGAAAAAACAUGACUUUGAGACCCGCAAAACAUGAAAAAUCCGCCCGAAUAGGGCGGAUCUCUCCUGUUUUUAGAAUUGGUGGAACACAAACUGCAUAACAAUCCGGUCAGGUAUCC
rnacentral:sRNA from 1 species